rnacentral:rRNA from 1 species
CUUUCAACAACGGAUCUCUUGGUUCUGGCAUCGAUGAAGAACGCAGCGAAAUGCGAUAAGUAAUGUGAAUUGCAGAAAUCGUGAAUCAUCGAAUCUUUGAACGCACAUUGCGCUCUGAGGUAUUCCUCAGAGCAUGCCUGUUCGAGCGUC